rnacentral:lncRNA from 1 species
GCAACAAUGGCUACAUCGAUGGCUAUGCUCAACGCCAAAUGCUUCAACACAAACCCCAAAACCACCAUCUCCACCAAGCCCACCAAGCAAGUUUCCCUCCUCCCCACCGCCAAAACCCCCACCACCAACAACAACGCCGCCGUCGCCGGAACCGCCAUCGCCGGAGCUAUUUUCUCGACCCUCUCCACCACCAACCCCGCCUUCGCCGUCCAGCAGCUGGCG